rnacentral:misc_RNA from 1 species
UAGGCAUGUAAAUUAGAAUAUGAUUGUUUAUCAAUAAUUGAGCCUCCAACUUUGUACUCUGCUAGUCUUUUUUACAUCCUAUAUUCUGUGUAUUAAGUUUACGAUAGACCAGAUUUAGGCCAAAAAAACCCUCUUCAAUCUAUGUGAAGCAUUGUAACAAGUGAAUAUAUUACAUGUAUACUAAAGCAAAACCCAUUACAAAUGUUUCUUAGAAGUCAAUAAAAAAAAAUCCAUCAUUUCUCCAUUCCAAAACAAACAGUGCAGGUGAAAAUGACCAAGGGAAAAGAAUAUCAAUCACAGAAGUGUAAACUUGGUAAUCAACUGAUUAUGAUACAAAGAUUAAAUUCUAAAAGAAGGAAUGAAGAAGACUCCGCUCCUCUUCAAUUUCAUCACAUAACAAUACAAUAACAGAAGACAACAGUCUUCAUAAUCAACAAGAAGUGAUUCCCUAACAGAUUCCAUAAAAUCAUCCAAUGUGUGACUCGGAAGAUGAAUAAAGGUCAGAUGUGCAAGCAGAGCCCUAUCUUGUAUUUUACCUUGCAAAGGAUUUUGUAGUGGCAAAGGUCCUUGGGAUAGUUGGUCGCCAAUUAUUCUUCCACAUCUUCACUCAAUUGAUGUGUUCCACCAUCCCCACCUCUGGCGGCGGCCUGUUUCCUAUGUUUCUUACUCUUGGAUUUCUUGGCCUUCAUGCGGCGCUUCUUCUCGUUAGCAUCAACCCAAGUAUAGUCUGAUGGUAUGUGGAAUGGGUCAAUCUCAUCCUUGUAUCUAUGACUAUCGCUAUCACUUGAUUGCCCACCACGACUCCCCCUCAUCCAUGAAAUCCAAGAAGUGGACCCUUCUGCUUCCUUGGAUUUGGCAUCCUGGAAAUGUGCUGGGCUGGAAAGGGGGGUUGAAAACUCCUCCACUGGCUGAAGCUCCUCAAAUUUUGUGAAAGUAACAAGCACCCGAAUAGUUGGGACAAUGGGGAUGGCAACCUGCAAUGAAGUAAGAUAUUAUUAUGCUUUUCAUGGCUCGGUACUUGAAUGCUGCGCGUAGACCUAUGUACCACAUGCAAAAUCCUAUUUCAGAAUAUGUUAUUGACCAGAAACUGGAAUGUAUGCCAUACUGUUUUUUCAGGUUGAUGAAACUACUCAUUA